GGGAUGCCGAGGGGGUACCGGAGGAGGAUAGGGUAUUGGAGCUGGAGGUGGUACCCGUGCACGGGAUACCCGAGGAUGUCGAGGGGGCACCGGAGGAGGAGAGGGUACCGAAGGUGGAGGUGGUACCCGAGAAGACGCCAGACUCGCCGGUCGUGGUCUUUGUGUCGGAGGAGGUGGUCCCGACAGCGGGCGAGGGGGUCGUCCCGAUGGCUGGGGAGAUGGAGAUUCCCGAGGCACAUGAGGAGCGGGUGGUCGGCAAGAGGCCAAGGGUGCCAUCACAGUACGUUCUUUCUCCGUUUACCGCAGAGGCGAAGAGGAGAAGGUUCGUCGACGGGACGCACCCGAAUU
rnacentral:lncRNA from 1 species